rnacentral:lncRNA from 1 species
GGAGGAACCUGGGUAAAUGGCGACUCCUCCCACUCCUCUGUGAUCUCAUCCCCUGCUGGCUUUUGUCUUCCUGUAUUAAAACAUCACAAUCAUUCUCGGCCUGUCCUUUCCCAGGGCCCAUCUUGCACGACGCCACCCAGCGCUGGUUGAGAAAACCAGCGGCAGCAACCCCCGCAUGCUGCGGCGGGGCUCGGGGCCUCCCCUUCCCCGCAGGUGCAGCCCAGGCCCGCACGCCCUCGGCCAAGCUCCGCACACCGGGUCUUCGUGGGCACCGCCCCAGAGCCGUCCCAGCCCCCAGCCCGAAGCCAAAAUAGCCUCAGAACCACUUCCUUCCCCGUGGGGGGAAUUGCACAAGAGGGCCGGCUCCGGGGCGGCAGGACGUGGCUUUCUGGGCUGGCACAACCCAACCCCAUUGAUCCGGCCGCGAAGGGUGCGAUUCAGGACUCCGACCUCAGAGCUAGCGGAGGAUAGCGGUCCUCCCAGGACAACCGCCACUCCUCACUGAGGCCCAUCCCUGAGGCUUCUGCCGAGCUACACAUUUCAUGUCUGUGGAACAGAGUUGUGAGCAUCUUACUUGAUAAACACCGCCAGGAGAGCUAUGCGGGGACCCAUCCCCAGAGCCCCGCUUGGGUCCCCACACACCGUCCAGGUUGCUGGGGAGAUCUACAGGAGUACUGACAGAGUCUUUUGGGGGCUUGUCUUCCUUGUGAACAGUUCCAGAGCUGUGUCCUACCUGCCGGAUGCUGGGCGUAAAUGAGGUGCUCGAUAUAUUUUCAUUCAAGUUGGCUAACUGUAGCUCUGCAGAUGUUCAGCUGUGCUGCAGAAAGCCCAGAGAGAGGAAGAAAACGAGCCAAGCAGAAAAAGUUCGGUGGACUGAGUGAGUGGCCAUGGGAGAUGGGAACUCAGUCUGACCAAGUCUAAGCCGAAGUGCUUUACAGACCUUACCAAAAGGCCAAGGGCGUGGAGAAAGAGAGACAGUUAAAAAAAUACUUCUCAAAUAAAAUGUUUAAAUGAAUAAAAAAGUGGAAAG